AGAGCCACAAUGUUCUAAACAUGGAUCAUUUAACAGUUUCAGCUCAUAUUGUUCUGGAUUCAUCUUCAAGCUAAAUCAGCAGCCUGCAUGGAGGCUUUUCUCUAAGGAAACAUGGCGUUUGGUUAAAGUUCUGCUCCUUCAGUCCCUGAUCACUGAACAUUGGUCCCAUGUUCUGCUGCUGGCCUCACAUGUUCUCCAUCAUCCUGGCUCAGUUGUUCUCAGUGGGUCUCUGUGUGUCUGGUGGCUCAUUGUGAGAACUAAAACCUACCAUGAGGAGACUUUCUCCACCUGCGGCCCUCAGCUGUGGAUCAGCCUUCCUGAAGACCUGAGGGCAGCUCAGAGCUUUGGACUAAAUAAGAAUCAUCUGCAUUUUUCAGCACAUCUUUGGAAACCAAUGAAAUGUGUCCUCUGCAUUUAACCCGUCCCUCAGGGAGCAGUGGGCUGCCACUGGGUGGUGCCCCGGAGCAUUCUGGCUCUAAGGGUCUUGCUCAGGGACCCAGGGCAGGAGCCUGUGGGAUUUGAACCAGCAAACUUGCAGUGCAAACGUGGACUACAGAUCUAUGCAUGGUAUUAGGUUUUAGGACUAAACACUGAACACUGGAAUAAUGAGGCACAGACUAAAUCAUCACCAUUUGACACAAGUUAUAAAGUGUUAACACCCCCCUCCCCCCUUUAUUUAGGAAAAUGAUAAGGCGAAUAAAAUAAAUGUACUUUAGGACCUUUAAAUAAAGACAAGUAACAAGCACUGCUCUGCAUACAACAGCAAAAUAAAGACCCUCAGGGUGUCAAUCUGAGAUCCCAGUUUAAUAGUAUUUGCUUAAAUGCUUAUUAAUUAAAGCUAAAGCCGGUAAAACCCAAGCUAACCCUACGUUGCAGGCCUGUUUCUAUGCUGUGAACAUGGAGACCAAACUCAGUGGUGGCUUCACUCAAAGAGCAAAUAAUAAACUAAAAAUGAACCUUGGUCCAGAUGAAUAAAAACGCUAACAGAAACGCUCUGCUCUGUGACUACUGUGAGGGACAGAGCCAACCAGACCCCAUGGACUCCUUUCCUGGCCUGAUCCUGGAUCCUGGUUUCCUGGAACAAAGUGGACCUCUGCUCUCCAGCCUGGACCCACAGAAGAUGGUUUUAUCCACUAUGGACCAGAAAACUGUUUAUGGAGUCUGUUCUAAAGUAAUGACUCAAAGACACCUCACCCACAGAGCCCCAUCAUCUGUAAAUAAAGAUUUCCCUUUACUACCAUCUAUCUCAUCAGAAAUGUCAUUUAUCAUUAUAUUAAAAAGAACUGGGCUACACACACUGCCUUGUGGGCUACUAUUCUCAACAAUAUAUCUAGUAGAGAAAGCAGCCCCAACUCUAACUUCUAUUUCUCUACCUGUCAGGACUCAGCCAGCAGGGCCGUGCAGCUUGCUGCCGGCUCUGCUGCCUCAGACUCUUUCCACAGGUGUUCUGGGUUGACUGGUGGGCGGAGCCCACACACCUGCGGGCGGUUGAGCGGCAUCGGGAGGCACUACUUAAACACCACGCAGACAGCGAGAGGAUGCCAGAGUGUUACCGUUGUGGUACCUCCUCGUGUCAGCUCUCUUCCUCUCGUGACCCUGUGAAGUCUCUCGUGGCAGGAGCUCCAAGCAUCGUCAUCUUCCGUCUGGUGUUGGUCUCUCCUGCAAGCCACCGGGUUCCUCCUGAGUCGGUUCCCCUCCCCUGGAACCCAGCCAUCUCCGGAAAGUCACCUGGUUCCUCUCGCUGUCCUGGACAUCUGGAUUUCCCGGUGCUGCUCGGACCCAACCCCACCUUCAACCCACUGGUCUCCCGGACACCUGUGGCCACCAUCGUACGGCUAGCGCUGAGUCCCCACCGCUUCCUCCCCGGUCGGCCUUCCGUCCAUUAAGUGGUAAGCUUGCGUCUUACAGCAGAUCCAGCUCAGUCAGACCAGUUCCUCUCCACGUUUCCCCAGUUAACCUCUGUCUCGUUCUUCCCCAGUGAUCGACCCGGUUUCCUGCUCCCUGACCGUUACCUGACGCUGCCUCCGCUGAGGCAGAAUCCUCCCGUUACCUGGUUCUUAAAUAAAACCUUUAAACUUCA